GCGACCUCCAGCACCAGGUCCAUGGUCGCUGCUGGGGGACAGGGACGGGGACAUGCAGGGGGGCAGCUCCGGGGCAGGACUCAUGCCCCCAGGGAUCCCCCCAGAUCCCCAUGAAUCCCCCAAGGGUCCUCCCAUGGUAACCAAGGAGCUG